rnacentral:rRNA from 1 species
GACGAACGCUGGCGGCGUGCUUAACACAUGCAAGUCAAACGGAAAGGCCCUGCUUUUGUGGGGUGCUCGAGUGGCGAACGGGUGAGUAACACGUGAGUAACCUGCCCUUGACUUUGGGAUAACUUCAGGAAACUGGGGCUAAUACCGGAUAGGAGCUCCUGCUGCAUGGUGGGGGUUGGAAAGUUUCGGCGGUUGGGGAUGGACUCGCGGCUUAUCAGCUUGUUGGUGGGGUAGUGGCUUACCAAGGCUUUGACGGGUAGCCGGCCUGAGAGGGUGACCGGCCACAUUGGGACCGAGAUACGGCCCAGACUCCUACGGGAGGCAGCAGUGGGGAAUAUUGCACAAUGGGCGGAAGCCUGAUGCAGCAACGCCGCGUGCGGGAUGACGGCCUUCGGGUUGUAAACCGCUUUCGCCUGUGACGAAGCGUGAGUGACGGUAAUGGGUAAAGAAGCACCGGCUAACUACGUG